UGGGGAAUAUUGGACAAUGGGCGCAAGCCUGAUCCAGCCACGCCGCGUGAGUGAUGAAGGCCUUCGGGUCGGAAAGCUCUGUGGGGAGGGACGAACCGCUGCACGUUCAUAGCGUUCAGCAUGACGGUACCUCCUUAGGAAGCACCGGCUAACUUCGUGCCAGCAGCCGCGGUAAUACGAAGGAUGCAAACGUUGCUCGGAAUUAUUGGGCGUAAAGCGCACGUAGGCGGCUUGACAAGUCGGAUGUGAAAUCCCUCGGCUCAACCGUGGAAGUGCGUCCGAUACUGUCGAGCUUGAGUGCGGUAGAGGAUAGCGGAAUUCCCGGUGUAGAGGUGGAAUUCGUAGAUAUCGGGAGGAACACCAGUGGCGAAGGCAGCGCUCUGGGUCGAUACUGACGCUGAGGUGCGAAAGCGUGGGGAGCAAACA
rnacentral:rRNA from 1 species